UAAAAUAUAAAAUUGAUUAGAACAUUAAAUUAGGGAUUGUAAACUCGAACAUAAACACAAUCGAAACUUGUCCACGAAGGAAAGAAAGAAAAACACCAAGGCAAGGAAUAAAGGCAAAACUUGAAAUUAAUAAAGGCGAUUCAAAGGUACAUAAUCUCUCAUGAGUGUAGAGAACCACUCAGAUUUAACAAAAGCUUGCUCGGAUGGUACAUAGGGCAUUCUUUUAUUUAUUUAUUUAUUACUAUUAUUACUAAUUGGACGUGCAAAAUUUAUUAUUAUUUCAUAAGAUGGCCACAGAUGCCAUAUACCAUCAUGGAUAUGCUUGUUGUUCAAGAUGAUUGAUCCUGAGACUGAACAGGAUUUGCCAAAGGGCCCCAGUUUCCAUUGUACUUGAGGUCAUACACUUGACUCUGUUUUAGCUUGUAAAUAUUGGCAAGAACCUCAGCAGGGAAUGCCCUGAACGUCUCCUUCAGGUAGCUGGUGACGGCGUUGUCGUUUGUCUUGAACACUACGUACUCAAAUCCUUGAUCUCCAGCUUCUUCCGCCACCAUAAAGUUCUGUGGCACCACCAGCAACUGUCCCUUACUUAGUUCAUCGUCGAACACCAUAAUCCCUUCGUUGUUCACCACUCUAACUUGUCCUUGCCCUCGGAUCACGUAUAUCACACUGUUUGCAUCCAUAUUCCAAUGGGGAGAGUAGAUUCCAUUCUGCAUGGAAAUAAUGCAAAAUAUAAACACACAUUGUUGCUAUAAUAUGUUCAAAUAAGUGAUAGAACGAGAGAAGUUUCAUUACUAUCCAACAAGAUAUUACUGGUAUGUUAGAAAACAAACAGUUAUAUGGAUGAAGUGAAAUACGUACCUUGUAGAGGACAACAUACUGGGCACUAAGUCCGAAGUUUCGGAGAGCUGGUAAGCUUUGGCUGUUGAGGUUUUUGAUGCGACCGGCUUUAGGGUUGUAGAAGUCAGCCGAUUUAGGGCGAGCAAUGUUGAAUUGAAGCUUUGAGGAGCAGAUUGUUUCCUCAAGCCCAUUUGAUCCAUGGCGCUUGUCUUUACUUGGUCUUGUCUCCCACUCUUCGUGUGCUUCUCCUCUUUCUACAUCUUCUUGUGCUGGUCUAUGCUCUUUCCAACUCUUUUCGUGGCGGGUCUUGUGUCGCACUGACUCAUCAGAUUCAUCCUCCUCCACUUCCACCCCUCUGUGUCCUUCUCCUUUGGGGCUUGGGGUUGGUCCCCGAGUGCGGCGAGGCUUUUCUUCUUCAUCCUCAUCCUCAUCCUCAUCCUCAUCAUGGUGAUGUCUUGAUCGUCGUGGAGGGAGUGGUUCAAUUUCUUUUUCUUCCUCUUUGUGUACAUGCUUUCGAGGAGGGAGAGGUUCAACCUCCUUUUCCACCUCUUUGUGUACAUGCUUUCCAUAAGGUUCAACCUCUUUUUCCUCUUCUUUGCGUACACGCUUUCCGUGGCUUGGUCGCCGUGAAGGACGAGACACAGAUUCAUCUUCAUCUUCAUCUUCAUCGUCGUCAUCUUCAUCUUCAUCCUCUUGUUGUCCUUGCCACUUGGGGCUGAUCACGCUGAGGCCUUCCUUCAGUUUAACGAUCUGCUUCAUUUCAUCGUCCGGAGAGAUAAGCUUGUUUGCUAUGUCUUGGUCGAUGUUGAGGGCUCGUGCUAAAAAGCGUUUUCCGAAGCCACUGAGCACGUUGCCACCUUCUUCCUCCGCCUGCUGCUGCUGCUUUUCUUUCAUUGCCUCUGGGUGCUCUAUAUCCGG
rnacentral:lncRNA from 1 species